rnacentral:snRNA from 14 species
AUUCUCACUUUGGCAGCACAUAUAUUAAACUGGAAUGACACAGAGAAAAAUAACAUGACCCCUGGAGAAAGAUCACAUGCAAAUUCAUGAAACAUUCUGCUUUCUU